UACGGGGGGGGCAAGCGUUGUUCGGAAUUACUGGGCGUAAAGAGCUCGUAGGCGGCUUGUCACGUCGGUUGUGAAAGCCCGGGGCUUAACCCCGGGUCUGCAGUCGAUACGGGCUAGCUAGAGUGUGGUAGGGGAGAUCGGAAUUCCUGGUGUAGCGGUGAAAUGCGCAGAUAUCAGGAGGAACACCGGUGGCGAAGGCGGAUCUCUGGGCCAUUACUGACGCUGAGGAGCGAAAGCGUGGGGAGCGAACAGG
rnacentral:rRNA from 1 species